CAGCAGCCGCGGGAACACAGAGGGUGCGAGCGUUAAUCGGAUUUACUGGGCGUAAAGCGUGCGUAGGCGGCUUCUUAAGUCGGAUGUGAAAUCCCUGAGCUUAACUUAGGAAUUGCAUUCGAUACUGGGAAGCUAGAGUAUGGGAGAGGAUGGUAGAAUUCCAGGUGUAGCGGUGAAAUGCGUAGAGAUCUGGAGGAAUACCGAUGGCGAAGGCAGCCAUCUGGCCUAAUACUGACGCUGAGGUACGAAAGCAUGGGGAGCAAACAGGAUUAGAUACCCCAGUAGUCCCUGUCUCUUAUAA
rnacentral:rRNA from 1 species